rnacentral:rRNA from 1 species
AUUGAACGCUGGCGGCAUGCUUUACACAUGCAAGUCGAACGGCAGCGCGGGCUUCGGCCUGGCGGCGAGUGGCGAACGGGUGAGUAAUACAUCGGAACGUGCCCAGUAGUGGGGGAUAGCUCGGCGAAAGCCGGAUUAAUACCGCAUACGACCUGAGGGUGAAAGAGGGGGAUCUUCGGACCUCGCGCUAUUGGAGCGGCCGAUGGCAGAUUAGCUAGUUGGUGGGGUAAAGGCCUACCAAGGCGACGAUCUGUAGCUGGUCUGAGAGGACGACCAGCCACACUGGGACUGAGACACGGCCCAGACUCCUACGGGAGGCAGCAGUGGGGAAUUUUGGACAAUGGGCGAAAGCCUGAUCCAGCAAUGCCGCGUGUGUGAUGAAGGCCUUCGGGUUGUAAAGCACUUUUGGCGGGAACGAAAAGGACUGUGCCAAUACCACGGUUCGAUGACGGUACCCGCAGAAUAAGCACCGGCUAACUACGUG